rnacentral:rRNA from 1 species
UACGGGGGGGCAAGCGUUGUUCGGAAUUACUGGGCGUAAAGGGCUCGUAGGCGGCCAACUAAGUCAGACGUGAAAUCCCUCGGCUUAACCGGGGAACUGCGUCUGAUACUGGUUGGCUUGAAUCCGGGAGAGGGAUGUGGAAUUCCUGGUGUAGCGGUGAAAUGCGCAGAUAUGUGGAGGAACACCGAUGGCGAAGGCAGCCCCCUGGGUUAACACUGACGCUCAUGCACGAAAGCGUGGGGAGCAAACAGG